UACGGGGGGGGCAAGCGUUGUUCGGAAUUACUGGGCGUAAAGGGCGCGUAGGCGGGUGGACAAGUCUCUCGUGAAAGCCCACGGCUCAACCGUGGAAUUGCAGGAGAUACUGUCUGUCUUGAGUCCGGGAGAGGAGGGUGGAAUUCCCAGUGUAGCGGUGAAAUGCGUAGAUAUUGGGAGGAACACCGGUGGCGAAGGCGGGUCUCGGGACCGGUACUGACGUUGAGGCGCGAAAGCUAGGGGAGCAAACGGG
rnacentral:rRNA from 1 species